AUGGCGAGUCGGUGGUGCGAGUUGGUGUGUCCGCAGCCUAAGCAGGUGGCGAGCGAGAGCAUGCACGGCGCUCGGCUCGCGGCGCAGCAGCUGAGCAGGGGCCGCGAUGCCUGCGACGUCGAAGCAGGCAAGCCAUGUCAGGAGGCCGACGGCGGGGGGAGGGUCGAGGCAGUGGCAGUGACCACUCAGCAGCACCACAGCAAGCCUACCAGCACGUUUGCCCAGUCGGUCAUCAACAUGGUUGGCAUGCUCAUAGGACUUGGGCAGCUCUCCACUCCCUACGCCUUGGAGAACGGCGGCUGGGCCUCUAUUUUCCUCCUGGUCGGGCUCGGCAUCAUGUGCGCCUAUACCGCGAACAUCAUCGGCAGGUGCCUAGACGAGGAGCCCAGCUCCAAGACGUACCAGGAUAUUGGCCAGCAGGCGUUCGGCUCCAAGGGCCGGCUGAUCGCCUCUGCAUUCAUCUACCUCGAGAUCUUCUUCGCCCUGGUCUCCUACACCAUCUCCCUCAGCGACAACAUCCCGCUCGUGUUCGCCGGUGUCCGCCUCCACCUACCAUGGCUGCGCCUCAGCACCACGCAGCUGCUCACCGUCAUCGCCGUGCUGGUGGCUCUUCCCAGCCUUUGGCUAAGGAACCUAUCGUCCAUCUCCUUCCUCUCCUUCGCCGGCAUCCUCAUGUCGAUGGUCAUCUUCGUCACCAUCCUCUGCACCGCGGCCUUCAGCAAUGUCGGCCUAGGCAAGCACAUCCCAGUCCUGAGGCUUGACAAGAUCCCGACGGUGUCCGGCCUCUACAUGUUCAGCUACGCCGGCCACAUCGUCUUCCCCAACAUCUACACUGUCAUGAAGGACCCCUCCAGCUUCACCAAGGUCUCCGUCACGAGUUUCUCCAUGGUCGCCGUGCUCUACACGGGCCUCGCGUUUGUCGGCGCGAGCCUCUUCGGUCCCACUGUGAACUCCCAGGUCACGCUCAGCAUGCCGCCGGGGCUGCUGGUCACCAAAGUGGCGCUCUGGGCCACCGUGCUCACGCCGGUCACCAAGUACGCGCUCGAGUUCGCGCCCUUCGCCAUUCAGCUCGAGCACCACCUGCCGGCGACCAUGGGGCCUCGUGCCCGGAUAAUCAUCCGUGGCAGCAUCGGCUCGGCGGGGCUUCUCCUCAUCCUGGCGCUGGCGCUCUCGGUUCCAUAUUUCCAGUACGUGCUCAGCCUCACCGGCUCGCUCGUCAGCGUGGCCAUCUCGGUCAUAUUCCCCUGCGCGUUUUACCUCAAGAUCCGCUGGGACCGGCUAUCGCGCCCUGUCGUCGUGCUGAAUGCGGCGAUGAUCGCCGUUGGUUUUGUUCUCGCGGUGGUGGGGACCGCUUCGUCAGCUAAGCUGCUGGUGAAAAGCAUACAGAAUGGACAUGUGGCGUAG
rnacentral:rRNA from 1 species